CAAGGCUAAAUACUCCUGACUGACCGAUAGUGAACCAGUACCGUGAGGGAAAGGCGAAAAGUACCCCUGUGAGGGGAGUGAAAUAGAACCUGAAACCGUGUACGUACAAGCAGUAGGAGCAGGCCUUGUCCUGUGACUGCGUACCUUUUGUAUAAUGGGUCAGCGACUUAAUUUUAGUAGCAAGGUUAACCAUCUAGGGGAGCCGUAGGGAAACCGAGUCUUAACUGGGCGUCAUAGUUGCUAGGAUUAGACCCGAAACCGAGUGAUCUAGCCAUGGGCAGGUUGAAGAUUGAGUAACAUCAAUUGGAGGACCGAACCGACUAAUGUUGAAAAAUUAGCGGAUGACUUGUGGCUAGGGGUGAAAGGCCAAUCAAACUCGGAGAUAGCUGGUUCUCCCCGAAAGCUAUUUAGGUAGCGCCUCGGACGAAUACUACUGGGGGUAGAGCACUGUUAAGGCUAGGGGGUCAUCCCGACUUACCAACCCUUUGCAAACUCCGAAUACCAGUAAGUACUAUCCGGGAGACACACGGCGGGUGCUAACGUCCGUCGUGAAGAGGGAAACAACCCAGACCGCCAGCUAAGGUCCCAAAG
rnacentral:rRNA from 1 species